rnacentral:tRNA from 1 species
GGCCCCGUAGCUUAGAGUAAUAGAUGCACCCAUCUAGAGAAUUGGGAGUCGUAGGUUCGAUUCCCACCGGAGCUC